rnacentral:lncRNA from 1 species
CUCAUUUCGGGGGGGGCUCUCCGCACUUCGGGGGGGGAUCGCCUCAUUUCGGGGGGGGGGUCGCCCCACUUCGGCUCGGGGGGGUCUCCCCACUUCGGGGGGGGGGGGCGGCGGUGGGGGGGGGUCCCCCCACUUCUCCUUCAGUGCGGAAGACCUGGCGCGCUGUUUGGCCGCCCGGGUGUGCGCGUACCAUCUCAGCCCCCGCCCCUUUUUGGCCCCUCCCCCCCCCCGCCCCCCCCCCCACCCCCAUCGGGACCCCCAUCGGGACCCCCCCCCGACCCCCCCUCCCCCCCCCUUCGCCUUUAAGUUGCAGCCCCCCCCGCCCGGGAGGAGGGGGAGGGGGAAAGGAGAGGGAGGUGGGGUUACUUCGGGUCACGGGGGUACUUCCGGUCACGCGGUUACCUCGGGUCACGGGGUUACUUCGGGUGAAAGUGAGGCUUCUGGGGUUACUUCCGGUCAUGGGGUUACUGCGGGUCGCGAGGUCACUUCAGGUCAGAAUGAGGCUGGUGGGGUUACUUCCGGUCAUGGGGUCACUUCGGGUCAAGGAGAGGCUCCCGGGGUCACUUCGGGUCACGGGGUCACUUCGGGUCAAGGAGAGGCAGCUGGGGUCACGCCCGGUCACGGGGUCACUUCCGGUCAAGAGGUUACCAAAGCUCACGGGGUCGUCUCAGGUCACGGGGUCACCUCAGGUCAAGGGGUCACCUCAGGUCACGGCGGGGGCGAAGGCGACGGGGUCGCUCCGGGUCGCGGGAACGUCAGCCCCGGGGUCGCUUCCGGUCGAGGGGUCACUUCCGGUCCGGGGCUUCCUUCCGGCCACGGGGUCGCUUCCGGUCACGUGCACCCCUCGGCUGGCCCGGGGGGGUCCACCCCUCCCCCCACCCCACCGGAAGUGGACUCGGAGGAAGUGGAGGUCACCGACCUCAGCGAUGAGGACGACGCCGCCGCCCCCCCCCCGCCCCCCCAUCCCCGCCCACCCUCUGGAGGGGGGGGGGAGGAGGAGGGAGGAGGGGGGGGGGUCGGGGGGGGACCCCCCAAACUGCGCUUCAUGAGGAGGUGGAGGGAGGAGGGGGGGGGGGGGACGACCCCAAAGUGAGGGGG